GACGGAGGAUGCAAGCGUUAUCCGGAAUGAUUGGGCGUAAAGCGUCCGCAGGUGGCAGUUCAAGUCUGCUGUCAAAGACCGGGGCUUAACUUCGGAAAGGCAGUGGAAACUGAACAGCUAGAGUAUGGUAGGGGCAGAGGGAAUUCCUGGUGUAGCGGUGAAAUGCGUAGAGAUCAGGAAGAACAUCGGUGGCGAAGGCGGCAUCCUGGACCAUGACUGACGCUGAGGAGCGAAAGCCAGGGGAGCAAACGGG
rnacentral:rRNA from 1 species